CCUCGGGGCCCGGGGGCACCUUCCGUGGGGGCCUCUCCGGGGAGGCGGCCCGCUCGCUCAGGGCGCUGAAGAGCGAAUCCUCGUCCCCGGUGCCCCCGAUGGAGUCCUUGAGGCCCAAGGCUACAUGCUCACCUGGAACUCUUCAAGCUGCCAUCAUCGGAAGCUGCCUUGGAAGGUCCCUUGUUUUUUGACAACCACGACUUGACCCCGUCGACACGGUCCUCCAGCUCGGAGUCGGCAUCUGAGUCCCCCUCACUGUGGGAUGAGGAGCAGAAAGGAAAGCCCAAAGGAGUCAAAUUACAAGGCUGAAAUCACGAUGACCCAUCACAAAACAGUGGUGAGAUAGCUUCUGAGUGAGAAUGCUUCUAGAAUUCUGCAAAAUGUCUGUUC